GAUGAACGCUAGCUACAGGCUUAACACAUGCAAGUCGAGGGGCAGCGGGAUUGAAGCUUGCUUCAAUUGCCGGCGACCGGCGCACGGGUGAGUAACGCGUAUCCAACCUUCCGUACACUCAGGGAUAGCCUUUCGAAAGAAAGAUUAAUACCUGAUGGUAUGAUGAGAUUGCAUGAUAUCAUCAUUAACGAUUUAUCGGUGUACGAUGGGGAUGCGUUCCAUUAGGUAGUAGGCGGGGUAACGGCCCACCUAGCCAACGAUGGAUAGGGGUUCUGAGAGGAAGGUCCCCCGCAUUGGAACUGAGACACGGUCCAAACUCCUACGGGAGGCAGCAGUGAGGAAUAUUGAUCAAUGGACGAGAGUCUGAACCAGCCAAGUAGCGUGAAGGAUGAAGGUCCUACGGAUUGUAAACUUCUUUUAUAAGGGAAUAAACCCUCCCACGUGUGGGAGCUUGUAUGUACCUUAUGAAUAAGCAUCGGCUAACUCCGUG
rnacentral:rRNA from 1 species